rnacentral:tRNA from 1 species
UCCCUCAUAGCUCAGUUGGUAAAGCAUCUGCCUGCAGUGCAGGAGCCCCGGGUUCGAUUCCUGGGUUGGGAA